GUCUCUUGGAGACAUCGAUGAAAUUGAUACAAUACAGAGAAGAGAAGAUUAGCAUGGCCCUGCGCAAGGAUGAUUUCGAGUACCCGUAGGUGGUGAAAUUCCAC